rnacentral:rRNA from 1 species
UCUGGUUGAUCCUGGCGGAGGCCACUGCUAUCGGAGUUCGAUUAAGCCAUGCGAGUCGAGAGGUGUAAGACCUCGGCAUACUGCUCAGUAACACGUGGACAACCUACCCUGAAGAGGGGGAUAACCCCGGGAAACUGGGGAUAAUACCCCAUAGACUAUGGAUGCUGGAAUGCUUUGUAGUUGAAAGGUCCGCCGCUUCAGGAUGGGUCUGCGGCCGAUUAGGUUGUUGUUGGGGUAACGGCCCAACAAGCCUGUAAUCGGUACGGGUUGUGGGAGCAAGAGCCCGGAGAUGGAUUCUGAGACACGAAUCCAGGCCCUACGGGGCGCAGCAGGCGCGAAAACUUUACAAUGCGAGAAAUCGUGAUAAGGGAACUCCGAGUGCCCGUAAAAUCGGGCUGUCCGCCAGUGUAAAUAACUGGUGAAGAAAGGGCCGGGCAAGACCGGUGCCAGCCGCCGCGGUAAUACCGGCGGCUCGAGUGGUGGCCACUAUUACUGGGCUUAAAGCGUUCGUAGCUGGUCUGUUAAGUCUCUGGGGAAAUCUUCCGGCUUAACCGGAAGGCGUCUCAGGGAUACUGGCAGACUGGGGACCGGAAGAGGUGAGAGGUACUCCAGGGGUAGGAGUGAAAUCCUGUAAUCCUUGGGGGACCACCUGUGGCGAAGGCGUCUCACCAGGACGGCUCCGACAGUGAGGAACGAAAGCUGGGGGAGCAAACCGGAUUAGAUACCCGGGUAGUCCCAGCUGUAAACGAUGCGCGUUAGGUGUAUCGGUGACCACGAGUCACCGAGGUGCCGAAGAGAAAUCGUGAAACGCGCCGCCUGGGAAGUACGGUCGCAAGGCUGAAACUUAAAGGAAUUGGCGGGGGAGCACCACAACGGGUGGAGCCUGCGGUUUAAUCGGACUCAACGCCGGGAAACUCACCGGACAAGACAGCUGAAUGAUAGUCGGGCUGAAGACUCUACUUGACUAGCUGAGAGGAGGUGCAUGGCCGUCGUCAGUUCGUACUGUGAAGCAUCCUGUUAAGUCAGGCAACGAGCGAGACCCA